AUGAAAUGGCUAUAAUAAUAAUAUUGGGAUUUUUGAUCAUGUUGUUGGCGCAACAUGAUCUGGCGUUUUCAAGCUAGUUGGUUUGGCGACCGAGAGAGGGCUAGCUUGAUAUUUUUUAAAUGAUCGUGUUGGCGCACG
rnacentral:antisense_RNA from 1 species